AUGACAAGCACUUUUCAAAUAUCAACAAACAAGGGCCAUUUGAUUCUGGUAGCCAUACUCGUAAUCAGAAGAAUAAGUCAGAGAGCAGGCCUCCAAAGGGAAACAACAACAAGACAGUGGAUGCUGUACAGAAAAACCACUGUACCCGAAUUGUGGAGGAGACCACUCUUCCCUCAAUCAAGUCACCCUGUAUGAGGCCUCCAAAGGGAAACAACAACAAGACAAUGGGCGCUGUGCAGAAAAACCACUGUACCCGAGUUGUGGAUGAGACCACUCUUCCCUCAAUCAAGUCACUAUGGUAGGUGAACCUUGAUUCACAGCGGCAGAUUUUGAAAACAUAUUCUCCUCUUACAUCUGUGGAAUAAGGACAAAAACCUAAAAAUCAAAUUUCAAAUGUUUUGAAAGAUAAAAACAGUUUUCUCAUUAAUUGUGUUUUUCCUUUCCACACAAAAAACCCAUAAAAUUAUUAGAACACAACCACAGUCUAAACAAAUGUAUAGUCCUCACCAAGGAAAUAGAUAGGCAGAUACGUUAGCUGCUAGGGAAAGCUCUUCACUCAUUGCCCACUUUGCUUGCCUCCCUCCCUCUCACUUUCUCUCCUGCUCUCUCCUGUUUGUUACACUGAUACUUCUCAGGGGAAUGUCUUUUUUAUUCAAGUUUUAGGCAUAUGGCAACCCCCCUGAGUCCUCCAUGUUGCUCUUCUCCUGGGAGUACGGUGAGAGAAGAUGUCUCCAAACAGCUUGAUAAUUAGAGAGCUAGGCCCUUUCCCAUAUAGAAAUGCAGAAGGUAAGAGCAAAAUAAACACUACUUUUCUUAGGACUUCAUCAUACAUACCUAAAUCAGUCCUAGGAGGCUUGGAC
rnacentral:lncRNA from 1 species